CGGCCAGCCGCCUUCCUGCCCCCGGCAGCUCCCGCGCGGCGCAGGUGCGCUCACCUGCCGCCGGGGCCAGCGCGCCGCAGCCCAGCGUCCCCCAGACCCGCUCCAUGUGAACUUCGAGCCCCGACUUUUACCAGUAAAUAUCGGUUUAUUCCUGAAAUCAGAAGCCCUAAACAUACCUUUGUUUAUAAGCCUGUGUGGUUCUGACUGCUGGCAGUUCUGUAGUACAGCAGCUUUAAUCUGAGCAAUUGAGACUGGUCCUACAUUAUCUUCAGACGGCUUGAGGAGGACUUCUGUUCCCAGUUUGGUACUCAAAUACUCCAUCCCACCUUGAGAAGUCACUUACUUUAAAAGCCAGUGAUAGAUUAUUCUCUUUAGCACUAAUGGAAAAUUAUAUUGCAAAGCAGCUUUAUUAUGAACCUUUCGUAUAUUCAUAAUUCCCGUGCAAUCCCAAAUUGGAGAAAAGAGCCUAUUAAAGAGGCCAGGGAGGAUUGAUCUCUAAUGUAUUCGCAACAUGACUCUCCUUCAAGGAUCCAAAAUAUCUCAGAGGUUUCUGUGGCAGGUGGUACUUUUGGGUUUACAAGUUAAUCUUUAUUAGAGAUGUGCCAAUAUAUGCUGCUUAUUGUAGUGUUGUUAUAUUUAGGCAUUUUAGCUAACUUAGAAAUAUAUACUGUAACAGUAUACUUUGUACAGACUUAAUUUAAAAUUUAUUUAAAGAUUGAAAUAAAGUAGGCAAAAAAUAAAGAUGUUUAUUUUUCAUUUGACUAAGCAGCUAUCAUUCUUUUGUUUUUAGUGUACUUGGGCACCAAACAAUCUCAGAACGAUAAAAUAUUUUAGUUGAUAGGCCACAUUGCAGAAACUCUGUGGAUAUGUUUAUGUGUAUCUGUAUUGUAUCUUGAUAACUGUUAACUCUAGAAUACAAAUAAUGAAAUCAUACUCGUUUUACCAUUCAGAAGAGAAGUGUUUCACAGUUUGACUAUUUUCUCUGUUUUAUGACAAAAAGGCAUUUAUUUUUUGAAAGAUGUUUAUGAAGGGCCUGCCAUCUGGCUUCUCAAGUCAAUUUUUAAAAUUCCAGAGUGGGGGUGAUUACUUGUUUAGCCUUCACUGAUGGACCAAAGUCAGCUUUGACAUCAGAUUGGGGUGCUGCUCAAAUUUAUGUUUUAUGUCCUUUAAGUCAAAAAACAAAACAAGAAAAAUCAAGAUGUUAACUUCACUAUAAAACAAAUUCCUCACUGUACAGUAGAAUGGAUAUCUCUAAUCAAUCUGUUGUCAUUAAUAAUAGAUUCUUAUUUUUUUGAAGUACUUAUCUAUUUAAAAGAACAGCAAACAUUGUAUU